rnacentral:rRNA from 1 species
AGCAGCCGCGGUAAUUCCAGCUCCAAUAGCGUAUAUUAAAGUUGUUGCAAUUAAAAAGCUCGUAGUUGAAUUUCGGGGUCAGUAAGUUGGUCGUGCCACUGGUAUGUACUGGCUUUACUGAUUCCUCCUUCUUGUAGAACCGUAAUGCCAUUAAGUUGGUGUUGCGGGGAAACAGGACUGUUACUUUGAAAAAAUUAGAGUGUUUAAAGCAAGCUAACGCUUGAAUACAUUAGCAUGGAGUAAUGAAAUAGGACGCUCGAUCCUAUUUUGUUGGUUUCUAGGAUUGACGUAAUGAUUAAUAGGGAUAGUUGGGGGCAUUAGUAUUCAAUUGUCAGAGGUGAAAUUCUUGGAUUUAUUGAAGACUAACUACUGCGAAAGCAUUUGCCAAGGAUGUUUUCAUUAAUCAAGAACGAAAGUUAGGGGAUCGAAGACGAUCAGAUACCGUCGUAGUCUUAACCAUAAACUAUGCCGACUAGGGAUCGGAUGAUGUUAAUUUUUAAUGACUCAUUCGGCGCCUUAC